GACAGAGGUGCCGAGCGUUAGGCGGAAUCACUGGGCUUAAAGCGUGUGUAGGCGGGCCGUUAAGUAUCUUGUGAAAUCCCCCGGCUCAACCGGGGAAUGGCUGGAUAUACUGGCGGUCUUGAGCAGUCUAGGGGCAGAUGGAACAAGUGGUGGAGCGGUGAAAUGCGUAGAUAUCACUUGGAACGCCAAAGGUGAAAACAGUCUGCUGGGGUUGUGCCGACGCUGAGACACGAAAGCCAGGGGAGCAAACGGG
rnacentral:rRNA from 1 species